GAGGAACCCUCCUGACACCCCUGUAACCUUCCGCCAAUAGUCAACCCUUAGACAUCCAGGACACUAGGGAGACCACCCGGGUCCCUAGGCCACUGCCCUGCAUCCUGUCCUUUGAAUCUGACCUCAUCCAUUAGAGCACUUGCUCUCCCGCAGCCCUCUCCUUCCAGCGCCACAGAGGCUCCAAGAAGGUGGAAGGGGGCUGAUUCCUCCAGUUCUCCCAGAAACUGCACACCAACCCCCUUCACUACGUUUCUGCACUCAGAGGCUGCCUCUAACCAAAGAGAGGGGCAGCUGCAGGGUUGGCACAUCGCCUGCCGUAAAUCAGGACAUUCAGAAAGGCGGCUCAAGACAGGUAGACCCUAGCCACGUGUGGCUUCAGGCUCUUGAAACACGGCUGGUCCAAAUGGAGAUGUCCUGCUAAAGGUCCCGGGCACGGUACCCCUGAUGAAAAGUGGAUAAAAGAUCACCGCCUGCCUCAGUGUCUGUUACAUAGUAAGUUCUCAGGAGGUAUUUGCCAAAUCAGUUAAAAUACACCAAUUUAUCAAAUAGAAAACAAAGAUUUCUAGUUCAUUUCUCUGCUAAGAGCUUGAGAGGGGGCAUUAACAGGAGAGUGGGAUGGGAAGGGAGGGCAGCAGCUGCCCUGGAGUUUCUGGUGGAUCCCUCUUGCCAAGAAAAAGUACAUCCUAAUCUGGUGGUUAAUUGCAGGUGUGAUCGUGCCCAGUGCUGCACCAGGGACAUCGCAUGUUAAUAGCAGGAAGUGUGCUGUGAUCAGAGGAGCAAACUCCCAUUUAUUCCAGGAGUUGAGUCACUGCUCUUCUAAAAAGGGAGGAUUCUAAAUAUAUUGAAAGGGGGAGCUAGUGCUGGAUACUGGGGAGGGUGUCUUGUUGCUGGUCUUUUAGAAAAAAGGCAACAGAUUAAGCAGUGGAUCAAAAUAUAAGUAAAAGACUUGCCCACCAAGUUAAAAAGCAAAAAAGAACUGAACUAAAAUAAAAAUAGCUCCAACUCAGAGAUCA
rnacentral:lncRNA from 1 species